AAAUGUAAUUAUUUUUAUCUCUACUUCACACUAGCAUCAGAUUAAAGUUAUAUAAAAAAAUGUAUUUACUUAUACACAACUACACAAGUGGAGAUUAAAAUAAACCCGUUCACACAACUUCUAAAGUAGGGAGAAAGAAAAAUCGCCAAACCAUUUUCGAAAUAUUUUAUCCGUGAGUCCAUAUUCAAAAUUGAAUUUAUCCAGCUAAAAUUAGAUUUUAGAAUACCGUGAAAGAUGCCAGGGAAAUGUAUCUCGUUCGUGGAAUUGUAAAGCUUGUCGAAAAUCAGAAUUCGAGUUGUGAUUUCCAGCCGAGGAUUUUCCAAAGGAUUAUAAGUUGAGGGCGACAUUUAAAGGAUUGAAUACAUGAUUUAGAGUAAAGUUACCCAACUGAUAAAAGAAGUUUUGGUAAUGAAGUAACAGAUGGCAUUAAAAAGUUGAUAUUACGGCCAUGUAGACACAACAUUGAAUUCCUUGGUAGAAAUCUGAGAGAUAUUUCGGUGUGAUGCUGCAGUACAAUGCAUUUUCAAUACGCUGCAGUAGCUAAUCAUAAGUAAUGAACUGUGCACGCUUCAGACAUUAUCGUCAGCGAUACCCGCGAGUGGCCAGCCGCAAUUUUAAUUAAAGGAAACGUGUACAUUAUUUUGUACAUACCCAUUCACUUCUCAUACCGCAAUAAAUAAGAACCAAGUCCCGAAUCGCUU